AGAUAUGAGGGCAAUGUGGCUGCAACAUUUUUCACACUACUGAUCUCCAGGUUGAUUCAGCUGAUCUGGCUGACUAGGUGGGUGCCCCCUUCCUCCACCACUCCAUGUGCAUUCCUGCUGAAGCUGUGAGCUCAAUGAGGGCAACCACCCCCAAGAGAGGAGGACCAUUUCCUCCAUCAAGGGUAUACAAGUAGAUGUGCUCUCUUGCUAAUACCUCCAAACAAGCUCUCGAGAUGUCAACUGUCUCUGGGAUGAUCUACAUAUUUAAUGCAACCACAAUCAAAACCCCAGCAAGUAUUGCUGGUAAAACUU
rnacentral:snRNA from 1 species